AUUGAACGCUGGCGGCAUGCUUUACACAUGCAAGUCGAACGGCAGCAUGGGCUUCGGCCUGAUGGCGAGUGGCGAACGGGUGAGUAAUACAUCGGAACGUACCUGAUAGUGGGGGAUAACUGACCGAAAGGUUAGCUAAUACCGCAUACGCCCCGAGGGGGAAAGUGGGGGACCAGCAAUGGCCUCACGCUAACAGAGCGGCUGAUGGCUGAUUAGCUAGUUGGUGAGGUAAAGGCUCACCAAGGCGACGAUCAGUAGCGGGUCUUAGAGGACGAUCCGCCACACUGGAACUGAGACACGGUCCAGACUCCUACGGGAGGCAGCAGUGGGGAAUCUUGGACAAUGGGCGCAAGCCUGAUCCAGCAAUGCCGCGUGGGUGAAGAAGGCCUUCGGGUUGUAAAGCCCUUUUGUUUGGGAGCAAAUCCUAACGGUUAAUACCUGUUGGGGAUGAGAGUACCAAAAGAAUCAGCACCGGCUAACUACGUGCCAGCCGCCGCAGUAA
rnacentral:rRNA from 1 species